rnacentral:rRNA from 1 species
UACAGAGGUCUCAAGCGUUGUUCGGAUUCAUUGGGCGUAAAGGGUGCGUAGGUGGCGCGGUAAGUCGGGUGUGAAAUUUCGGAGCUUAACUCCGAAACUGCAUUCGAUACUGCGUGCUUGAGGACUGGAGAGGAGACUGGAAUUUACGGUGUAGCAGUGAAAUGCGUAGAGAUCGUAAGGAAGACCAGUGGCGAAGGCGGGUCUCUGGACAGUUCCUGACACUGAGGCACGAAGGCCAGGGGAGCAAACGGG